rnacentral:lncRNA from 1 species
UGUAAUGUUGUUUUUUAUUCAGGGAUCCUCUGUUCUUCACAUUGAUCAUAGUAGAAACAUCAUGCAACAUAAGAGGAAACCAAAAUAAUAUUCAUGUCAAAAUUUCAAUAUAUAACAUUAAUCAAUCUAACUAGAAAAUUCAUCGUUGUUUCAAAGUUUACAAGCAAUUCAGUUUAAAAUUUCUUUUCAUAUGGGCACAGAGCUAUUAAUAUGAAAUUAAAAUCAUCUACUAAAAGGUCAACCUAAGAUUUCAUUGAUUACCAACGCCCUCAAAUAAUGCCUUCCGCGGUGAGGAAGGUAACUUAUCAUCUUCUUUGCACACCACCAGAACUUGGUCCACGCUGUACAGCCUCACCGUCUCCCUCCUGCCUUCCAAUGCCUCUUCAGCAAAUAUUGGAGCUCUGUUGAAGAAAAAAAGAUUAGUUUAAUUAGAAAUACACAGUAUGAUGUUAAAGAUAGCAGGUUUAAUAUUGUUCAUUUUUGGAUUUCUGAUUAUGUCCUGAAGCAUAUGAAAAUUAAACCAACAAGGUAUCUCAUCAAAUAAUCAACGUUUGUUUAGCUUUAGUUGAAUGAGUUUAAUCCUGAGAGCAAAUUUUCCUCUAAACCAAAUAGAUGGAUGAGUUGGUUACUUAAGCAUCUUAACAGCAUUUGCAAAAUCAAUAACAUAAGACUUGAAUAAGCAAAAUAUAGAUUGAUUAGAAAACAUUUGAACAUUCUAUGACAAUAUAGUGUGUUUCUAUGACAGCAACAUGAACUAGUGCACAAUCCAACAAGAUCUUUGCCAAUUGAAUAACACUAACUACUACUGGUUUAGAGAUUCCAUUAAAUAAAAAGACAUUACAGUGCCUCUGAUUCUAUAUGCAUUUGGCUACUGCUAUAAUAAAUUUCAAAACCAUAAAGCUUUAAAGCUAAUAGCAAUUAAUGCAAACACAUAUAUAGAGGAAGAGGGUUUUAUUUAGCCCUUGGAAAGUUGCAAUACAAUAGGGGAUAAAGAUUGAGAUUAUGCAGAGAAUUUCAACAUUAUAAGAACAAGUAACAAAUAAUAAUUUAUUGAAUUUAAAAGAAGAGAUUGGAGUGAGGGGUUACAUGUUUUUCUCUGAGCAAUUUAGUGAGUGAGGGAGGCAAGGUGACAAGGGUUCCAUCCAAAUCUUCGGUUGAUGGUAAGAUAAAGAGGGCAUCUGCGAUAGCUUGAACCAAGUGAGUGCCUUUCAGUAAACACUGCUUAAUGAGGUCCUCCUUGUGUUCAAUUAACUUGAGUAAGGGCAGUGUCAAAAAACAAAAAGAAUAAGAAGAAGAAGAAGGUACCUAGAAAGAAAUGGUUGAGAAAGGAAGGUGUCAUAGGAGUUGAAAGCCAUGAGGUUGCUGAGGUCCACAUCAAACUUGUGUUUUUUCUCACCCUCCAUCUCCAUCAAAUUAAACCAAUAACAAACUACGGCGGCGUUGAAGGUGCCUAACGGCUUAAGGGUUUUGUGCUAAUGAAGAAAGUAACGUUGUCUUUGUUUUUACUAUUUUGAAAACUAGGUAGCUUAAAAGUAGUAAAAAAAAAAAAGGAAAGAAAAAGUUAAGAAGAAGCUAGAAGACAGCAGAAGCAUCACCAGGUAGGAAGAGCAAGUCUGAAGGGCUACCUUCGCCACCGCGCCGUCUUAGUCCUUAGCGGAAAUGGUUUUGUCGACUAGUAGCGUCUGUCGCCACCGUCGUCGGGUGGAAGUGGUAGUGGUUGGCACAACUACUCCAUUUUGGAAAACCUAGAGAAGAGUCGAAGAGGGAGAGGGGGAGACUAAGACUCAGAGAGCAAAAAGGAGGAGUGGAAGACAAGGAGUCGCAGAUUAAAUAUUAAUUAAAAACAGCGAAAAGUCUUCUAAGGCAGUUUUUACAAAACUGUCUUAGAAUGACAACCUUAUAAUACGAUUUUGUAAAAUCAUAUUCGUUAAAAAUUCCUUAUUUACAAAAUUGACAUUGCCUUUUAUACUAAGAC